rnacentral:misc_RNA from 1 species
GAUGAAGAACGUAGCGAACUGCGAUAAGUAAUGUGAAUUGCAGAAUUCAGUGAAUCAUCGAGUCUUUGAACGCACAUUGCGCCCCCUGCCAUUCCGGGGGGCAUGCCUGUCCGAGCGUCAUUGCUGCCCUUCAAGCCCGGCUUGUGUGUUGGGUCGUCGUCCCCCCCGGGGGACGGGCCCGAAAGGCAGCGGCGGCACCGCGUCCGGUCCUCGAGCGUAUGGGGCUUUGUCACCCGCUCGAUUAGGGCCGGCCGGGCGCCAGCCGGCGUCUCCAACCUUCUAUUUUACCAGGUUGACCUCGGAUCAGGUAGGGAUACCCGCUGAACUUAAGCAUAUCAAUAAGCGGAGGA